UGCUACAAACCCCAGAACUUCACGGUGUUAAAAUGUUUUGUGGGCCUCUUGGCAUAUACUUAAAUUGUUUGCUUGCCUAUAGCCUUACUUCUGAUUAUGAUGACUUUUACAUUGUUUUUUUUUUUUUUGGUCAGUUGCCCUUCAUAUGUUUCUGCAGCAGCUGUUAAGGCAAAUUUAUUUGAUGUGGCUUUAAAUACAAAUAUUCUUGAUACUGUCUCUAAUGGUUCCUUGAGGUGCUUAAACUGAUUAAAAAAGGUAUCGCGUUGACAUCAUACGCUGGAAAGCUGGUUAGGGUCAUCUGGGACAUGUUACUUCUGAUUCUUCAAUCCAUAGUGCUCUUUUUCGGAUUGUUUGCAGGACUUCACAAGCAUUGGAGGUCUGAAUGCUCUGAUUCUGUUUGGUCAAAAUUUGCUAUUUAAUUUUGUUUCUUCACUGAUUUGAGCAUUUUUCUUCCUAUAAUCUUUUUCUUCUUUUGUCUUGUUUUUUUCCAUUUAUAUUGCAGAAACUUCAUGUUAGCCGUCUCUUUGAUGUCACAGAAA